CAGCACGAGAGGAAAGACUUUAAUACUUAGAGGCUUGCAAAGGUAGGAAGGAGUAUGUGGUGAGAAUGGCUUUGAAAGUGUCAGUGAACCCUUACAGAGGGGUCAUAAAUGUCCAAAGAGGCAUCUAAGGACUUGGUCCUCAGUCCCAUGGUACAUUCAGUUCCGACUGGGAAAAAGAAACAGUUUUACUUCCUUCAUCGCUUUGUCUGUUCAGGCAAUUCGUAACUUCUUUUUCUUUUUCUUUUCUUUUUCCCCCUCCCCCCCCUUUUUUUUUCUCUUUUUUUUUUUUUUUUUUUUUUUCUUCUUGUACUUUGAAUAUCUUUUGGGAGUAAAAAUUCCAUUUGGACUAUUCAUUCUCUACCAGCCAUCCAGUGGGCAAGGACUUAUCACUCAGUGAUACCUAGUAGAGGUUUGUGUGCAGGAACACAGUGUGUGUUAUAGAAGAUGGCCCAUUCUUUUGGACUGCUUUAGAACAGUGAAUUCCAGUUGCCAGACCUGCUUGUAUGUGGAAGCACUAAGCAUACAGAAAAGCAUUACAUGGUUCGUGGACCUGGGCUGUCAGCUGGAAGAAAAGUUUCUGCAAGCUAAAAAGAAAAAAAAGAACAACCCCCAAACAAAACUGUAAACGAAAUGAAGGAAGUGGAGGCAGCUUCAAGCUUCAGCUUACUGCAGUACCCUCGGAUUUGAUCAGCUUAAUAUGUGACUCUGAGGAUAUGCUGAGUGAAAAGGAAAGAUCUAUAUGCUGAAAGAGGACGACACUGGAAAGGGAAAAAUUUAUACACUGGAAGAAGCAUGAAGCCAAAAGGAUUUCAGAAAUUAUUCAAAAACACUAUAAAUUUUAAUACCAAAUAAGAGUUAUGUAAACUUUUGAACCAGCCUAUAAAACUCAAUAGAACAGUAUGACAGCACUAAACUGGUAAUGGAUUCAAUUUCUUGUUAAAGUUUUCUUUUCCCACAAGAAAAUAAAAUGCACCAUUUUGAAAGAUCCUGGAAGAUGAAGUGAUCAGCUGGUUGACCUAAGAUGACAAACUAGUUCCUUUCCAUGUAUGAAUUUGAUGCUCUGCAAAUAUCCUAGUAAAUGCUGGCCCCAGAAAGUGGUUCACUCAGUCUGUUACACACUUUGACAGGUUAUAUAGCAGUUAAUAAUUAAGUGAAAGGAAGUUCUGUAUAAAAAAAUCUGCCAUCAUUAUGUUCCAACUCUCUAUGUAGAGUCCACUGGUGUGGCUAUAAGUGGUAUCUUUGCUGACCAAUAGCACUGCUGGCAAACUAUCAGGUAAUUGUAAGUAUGUAUUUACCAGAGAAAAAAAGACCGGUUUACGUGCUUCUGUUUGUGAGACACAGUUGUGGCUGUACUGCUCUGCUGUGCUGAGCCCAGAUCCUCUAUCUUGCUGUAGGAUAAGCCUUGUUCUACCUAUAUCUAGGCAGAAAUUUGUUUAAAAGAGUCACAUGAAGAAUCCAUGUUCUUUAGUCAUUUAUAUAGUUUGUCAGAACAAGAUUUAAAUAUUGUCAGUCAUCUUGAAUUAUAACUAGUUUACAGCUUGUGCUCUGAACCCAUCCAUCCUUUUGAUCUUUUUACCUUAAGAAUGCAACUAUGUGGGAAAUAACUUUAAAGUGAAUGAUACACAUCUGACAGACUUUAAGGAAAAAUAAGUAAGAAUUCAGAAACAUUCCAUGUAAAGAAAAAAAAAUGUACCUUUUUAGAAAUGAACUGUUGUGCUCAUUCAUUGCAGAAUUUAAGUAAGAGUAAUGUUUUACCUCCUUCUUAGCAGCAAAGAAGCAACAUCAGAUGAGGGAGACGUAUCUGCACAUUUUUACAUCUCACAAAUAAUCAGCAGGUUAGAGACAAUAAAACAACUUACCUAAAAUAGAAUACUGGAAGGUUUAAGGUGUCUAUGUUGAAACUGUGACUUGAAAACCCUGCGUUCAGUGUCUGCCCAACCAGAGUGUCAUUUAAACAUAACUGUCUUCCAUGUUUGCUCUGAAUCUUUUUGAGAUCACACAGUAUUCUGUUUCUGACCAUUCGCAGAAGGGCUCAGGGUGAAGCGGGCAUGUACCUCUGUCUGACUUAAACAGUCUGGGAAUCCAGAAGAUAAAUGGUAGUGUUAGCUUAUAGCACAGACCUGGAAAGUGCACUCAGACAAACGUAGUAUAUGCCAAUAAAACUGGAAACCUUUCAGAAGGAGACAACUUUUUACAUCUGCUUUGACCUCAGGUAUUUUAAACUCUAAUUUCUGAGGAGGCACACCUUACCCACUGGGUCCCAGGCUAGUCUACAUAGCUGUACAGAUGUGCACUACAACUGCAAAACUCAUUAAGAUUCAAGGAGAUAAAUGAGGAAGGAAACAAUUUUUAUGGAGCAAGCAGGAUUCUGGCCUUUGUCUUUGCCCCACACAGUUUGUAUGUCUAUUUUUCAGUAAAUAGUAGAACUAAGAAUAAUCCUAUGUUCCAUUAUUAACAUCUCAUCUUCAACAGUGGUUAUGUUUUUUUAAAAAAACGGAGCCUUUGAAACAAAAAUUGAAUUACCUUGAUGGUCUGUGGACACUGAGUGGAUGGAAAUAACCACAGUCUUCCACUGUGACAGAGUGCCUCAACUACAUAGGUUGGCAUUAUCUGACUUUCAAAAUUAUGAGUUAGAUUCUAGAUAACUCCAUAAUGUUUCUACUUUGUUAGUCCUCUCACAUAACAUCAUCUGUUCUCUGUAGGUAACAGCUCUCUAAUCUUGGCUUUGGAUUCUACUUUGUGGGCUAGAUGUCUGAAACCAUUGUGAGGGUCUGUGAGCACCUCUACACCUUUCUGGAACAUCCUGUGGGGAACAAGAGUUCUAAUUGAAGCACUUAAGACGUGCUCAGCACUUUUGCUUUAACUACUUUUGUCAUUUGUCUUUCUGGCAUCUCUAGAGUUCAUUGAAAUUUCUCUUGUAAUUCCUGAAAGUUUAAUUUGGACCUCAGUCUCCUCAAGGAAAUAUUGCUAAAGGUCAGAAGUAGGCUUAAAUCAUAAAGUUUCCAGGAGAGGGAAUCUAGGAAUUUCUCUCAGUUCCAUCUUUAACACUGUAGUAGAAGCCAGUGACAACAGGGCUUUGUAUUCCAGAUAUCAGACUGAGAAUGUGGUCUUGGCAUGUUGAAUAAUGUAAUUUGUGUACAUAUAAGCAAAGAAAAUAUUGAUAGUGAAAUAAUUAUGAAUAUAUAAAUGUGAGACAGUAGGAAGCCAUGUUUAAAGGCAUUUUUCAGUUUAUAACCACACUUUUAAGAAUUUCCUGUCUUUUCUUUUAGCCAGACACACGGGAUUAUUUUAGCGUACUUUUAUUUGUGUGUUGUUUCCUUUACAUUUUUGUUUGAGCAGAAGAGGAUGGGAAUAAAAAUGCAGUCUUCAACAAAGUUUUACAAAGUUUAUGAUUCUAGGCUGUAGUAAUUCCCCUAUGUACACUUAAAACAAUAAUAAAAAUGCAAGCACCAUAUUUUGAAAAGUUAUUAUGACUUAUUAUGUAAACAGAUGAUGAUAAAACAUUCUGAGUUAUUAUUCAAACACAAUACAUCAUAAUUGUUUCUUUGGAGACACUAUAUAUUUCUGUCAUGGGCUUUACUUACAGGAUUCUUUGUAAAACCUUCAUAAAGGUAAUUACUUUGUAUUCCCAUCAUCACAUUUCAAAAAUAGUGAUCUCAGCCUCUGAACAUGUAAACUCUGAAACAAAAGAAGAGUCCUAUUGUCUUCUUGUGUAAACAAAGCUUGUUUACAAGGUUGGGCCUUCCAACACUAAGCCUUACUCUCAAUACACAUGAUUAUACAGGUUUUCUAGAUAUAAAUGUGAACUCACAGAUGGUGGUUUCAGGCCACUUAAUCUUAAUAAGCUAGUUUAUUUGAUGAAAAACUUAGGAGCUGACUUUGUAUUUUUAACAUAUUUAUGGGAAAUGGAGAAUGAGUAUCUGAAGUUGAUAACUUCCCUUUGCAAAUUCUGGUUGAUACACAGGGCUUAACAAAUAUAGGUAGUAUCUUAUUCCACACUGAAUGGAAUAAAAAAUCACUUGUCUUUUGUUAAUAUAAAGUUCAUAAUUAAAUUAUUCUUGAAAUACUGUCAGACAUUUCAGCAAAAGAACAAAAAACAAAAGUUCUAUUUAGUGUGGAUUGGUGUUGUGAUAUACUUAAUAUCUACUUCAACAUUGAAUUAAAAGAUUCAGAAAUCUAUCAUAAUAUGCUUCAAAAAAAGAUCAAAGACAAUGAAUAAAGUUGGCAGAAUAUGUUUGCUUUUACAUGGAAAUUACUGAAAUAAAAGAUUAAAAUAUGUAUUGAUAUUUACUAGCACUAUUUUCCACUGAAGUAAAUGGGUAAACUCUUGGGCUUGAUAUUUCUAAGCCCUUGCUGGUUUGAUACUCCAUGUCUUCUUACUUGCAUUGAUACAAAUAUAGGAAGUACCUAUAGAUUGCAUAAAUGUUGAUCAUAAGUGUUGUUUCAGGAUGAAAUGUAUUGUCUGUUUCUGUGAAGCUAAUGGCUUUUUGGUCACACAGCUUAAAGUGAUGUGAAGAUUAUCAUGUUUGUCAUGAAGAUUGUCAAGUUUGUCAUUACUUCUGAACUCCCAAAAUAAAUUGAAAUAAAUAAAGGUUUUUCUUCUAAAUCAG
rnacentral:lncRNA from 1 species